GACGAACGCUGGCGGCGUGCUUAACACAUGCAAGUCGAGCGGCGCGGCCAACGGGUGAGUUACGCGUGAGUAACUGCCCCCCUCUCUGGGAUAACAGUUGGACACGGCUGCUAAUACCGGAUAGUGGGGGAUGACUCGCGGCCUAUCAGCUUGUUGGUGGGGUAGUGGCCUACCAAGGCGACGACGGGUAGCCGGCCUGAGCGGGGGACCGGCCACAUUGGGCUGAGAUACGGCCCAAACUCGUACGGGGGGCAGCAGUGGGGAAUAGUGCACAAGGGGGGAAACCGUGAUGCAGAAACGCCGCGUGCGGGAGGACGGCCUGAGGGGUGUAAACCGCUUUGAGCCAGGACGCGGUAGUGGCAGAAGAAGCACCGGCUAACUACGUGCCAGCAGCCGCGGUAAUUC
rnacentral:rRNA from 1 species